UUGAGGUCCUUACUGUAGCAAACCAAUCUCAGCCAUUCUCAUAAAAGAGUGAGUGUGUGUUUGAAUUAUAGUUAGAAAGUUAAAUUGAGUUGAGUUUAAAUUUUCAAAUAAAAGUAACAUUUUUUUUAGCUUUAGUUUAACUAAAGUUAGCUUGUAAUUUACACUCACACUCAACUGAAAGGGACAAAAAAAUUGUCAAGUAUAUAAGUACUGUGUUUGAGACCAACUAACUGCAAUUAGAAAUUUCAAAUGGAUAAUCAAACAUAGCUUGAUCGGGCAAAAUUAGCUUCUCAUCUUUCACAUGACAUUACGUGAAUAACAGGGAAUUCCUUGUUAUCAUGACAACUACAUGUAACAUUGCAUCACUGAAUACUCCCUAGUCACACAAUCAGUAGAAGGAAACAUAGACAAUAGUGAUGAGUUUAGUAAUACAGUAGCCACUUCACGUGAUUACCUAGCAAAGCUACUUUUCUGGUGUAUGUUAUUGGGCCACCACUUAAGAGGGUUGGAAAAUAGAUUUCAUCUGAGCUGUGUUGUUGGACUGUUGUAGACUUGUAGAAAAGGUUGUGCAUAAGGCCUAGGAUGCCUUUGGACGUAUUGAUUCCUUGAUUAACAACAUUA